CAUUGUGACACCUAUCCACUUAAGGCUCUGGCUGAGCCUGCUUCCUGUCUUACAGAGCAGAAGCUCUUGGUUGGAGAGAGACUGGACUUCUGCACUCUUGACAGAUUAUACUCCCACUUUUACAAGCCGUUUUGACCACCAUACAAGCAGAAACUCUUGUUGUUGGAGAGCAACUGGCCUUCUGCGCUCUUGACAGAUUAUACUCCCACUUUCACAAGCAGUUUUGAACACCAUAUACAGAAGCUCUUGUUGGAGAGCGACUGGACUUCUGCGCUCCGCUCCUGACACACAUACUUGGACUUACUAAGAACUU